UGUCACCGGAAAAGUUAUUAGCUCCGAGGUCUAAAUAUUUGAGAUUUGAAAGCCAGUGAUCAAUAUCAUCCGGGAUUGGACCCACAAAAUAAUUUUGAGAAAAAUUCAACCUUUGUAGCUUUGAGCAGUUGAAAACAGCUCUUGGAAAUCCUCCGGGGAUGUAGUUAAAGGACAAGUCAAGAAUGGUGAGGUUUGUGAGGUCACAGAUUGUUGCCGGGAUUUCUACUGAGAUGUCCUUGUUACUGAGCAAAAGGUUGGUAACCUUACCGUCGGCGCAUGAAAUCUCCGUCCAACUGCACGGCGAGGAUGAGGAGGUCCAGGACUGUAGAGACAGUGGAUUGCCCAGUUGUUGCUUGAGCUUCAAGAGGAUGUCAAGCUCUGUGUCAACAUUUUGUGAAAUUACAAGGAAGGGUAUGGAUGUUAUGAGUAAGUAUAGGAAGAGGUUCAGAAAUGGCAAGGUUAGUUUAGACAUAUUGAACCGAUUCAAUCAAUUGCUCAGUUGGAUUUAUUUUUGCCGGGAAAAGGGAAGAGAAACUAG
rnacentral:misc_RNA from 1 species